GAACUAACAAGGAUUCCCCUAGUAACUGCGAGUGAAGCGGGAAAAGCUCAAAUUUAGAAUCUGGCAGCCAUUUUGGUUGUCUGAGUUGUAAUCUAGAGAAGUGCUAUCUGUGCUGGACCAUGUACAAGUCUCCUGGAAAGGAGCAUCACAGAGGGUGACAAUCCCGUCUUUGGCAUGGACUACCAGUGCUUUGUGAUGUGCUCUCAAAGAGUCGAGUUGUUUGGGAAUGCAGCUCUAAAUGGGUGGUAAAUUCCAUCUAAAGCUAAAUAUUGGCAAGAGACCGAUAGCAAACAAGUACCGUGAGGGAAAGAUGAAAAGGACUUUGGAAAGAGAGUUAAACAGUACGUGAAAUUGCUGAAAGGGAAACGCUUAAAGUCAGUCACAUUGGUUGGGAAUCAGCCCUGCUUCUUUGCUGGGUGUACUUUUCCAGUUGAUGGGUCAGCAUCAGUUUUGACCAUUAGAUAAAAGUAUAAGGAAAGUGGCAUUUAUUUAUAAAUGUGUUAUAGCCUUGUAUUGUAUGUGGUGGUUGGGACUGAGGAAUGCAGCACGCCGAAAGGCCAGGGAGUAUAUCUCAUGAUCGUGCUUAGGAUGGCUGACAUAUAAUGGCUUUAAUCGACCCGUCUUGAAACACGGACCAAGGAGUCUAACAUGCCUGCGAGUAUUUGGGUGGAAAAACCCAUAUGCGUAAUGAAAGUGAAAGUUGAGAUCCCUGUAUUUGGGGAGCAUUGACGCCCGGACUUGAUGUUUUCUGACAGUUCCGCGGUAGAGCAUGUAUGUUGGGACCCGAAAGAUGGUGAACUAUGCCUGAAUAGGGUGAAGCCAGAGGAAACUCUGGUGGAGGCUCGUAGCGAUUCUGACGUGCAAAUCGAUCGUCAAAUUUGGGUAUAGGGGCGAAAGACUAAUCGAACCAUCUAGUAGCUGGUUCC
rnacentral:rRNA from 1 species